GAUGAAGAACGCAGCGAAAUGCGAUAAGUAAUGCGAAUUGCAGAAUUUCCGUGAGUCAUCGAAUCUUUGAACGCACAUUGCGCCCACUGGUAUUCCGGUGGGCAUGCCUGUUCGAGCGUCAUUAUCCUCCCUCAAACCCCGGGUUUGGUGUUGGACCCAAGUUGUGUGAACAACUGGUCUCAAAGACAAUGACGGCGUCCGUGGGACCCUCGGUGCAACGAGCUUUUAGGAGCACGCAUCGAGUUGCAUGGACCUUCCGGGCCGGUCUCCUUUACCAUUUUACAAGGUUGACCUCGGAUCAGGUAGGAAUACCCGCUGAACUUAAGCAUAUCAAUAGCGGAGGA
rnacentral:misc_RNA from 1 species